UACUGACAGGCUCAGAAAUGUUAAGAAGAUGCUUAAAAGAAAUGGGCUCAUGAGCCUUCUUUGCUGAAGUAUUAAUUACUAGAUCUGAAUGUUUUGCUUUUCUGUGAUGGAAAAGGUGAAGAAAAUAGGGCUUUUUUUUUUUUCUUUUGAAGAGAUGGGAUUUCCCUCUGUCGCUUAGGCUUAACUGCAGUGGUUCAGUCAUAGCUCAUGGCAGCCUCAAACUGGACUCAAGGAAAUGACUGAUAUUUUUUGAGCACCAGCAGUAACGAUAGUUACUCUUCACUGUUUUCUCCCUGCCAGGUGUUCCACAGACAUCCUACAUGCAUGACAUUGAUUCACUCUUACAUUUGACAGGAUUGCAGGAGCUCCUCAGACAAGAUCUGUGGCAACAGUAACAAUAAAAGCAUCCCAUGCGGACCAAACUCC
rnacentral:sRNA from 1 species